UUCAAAGAGAUAAGAGCGUGCAAUAAAGGUAAAAUACUGGAUGCCACUGGAGCACAGAAGCUGUACCUCAUGUAGACUGGAGAGAAAGGGAAGAUACCUGCAAGGAGGAACAUAGAGUGCAGAUGUAGGAAAGCAUGGGAACAGGAGCAGGAGCCAGACUUUUCAUGGGGGCAAGGGCAGAGGCAGGGAGACCAGUGAGGAACCUGUC
rnacentral:lncRNA from 1 species